rnacentral:rRNA from 1 species
GAUGAACGCUGGCGGCGUGCUUAACACAUGCAAGUCGAACGGAAAGGCCCAAGCUUGCUUGGGUACUCGAGUGGCGAACGGGUGAGUAACACGUGGGUGAUCUGCCCUGCACUUCGGGAUAAGCCUGGGAAACUGGGUCUAAUACCGGAUAGGACCACUUCUUGGAUGUUGUGGUGGAAAGUUUUUUCGGUGUGGGAUGAGCUCGCGGCCUAUCAGCUUGUUGGUGGGGUAAUGGCCUACCAAGGCGUCGACGGGUAGCCGGCCUGAGAGGGUGUACGGCCACAUUGGGACUGAGAUACGGCCCAGACUCCUACGGGAGGCAGCAGUGGGGAAUAUUGCACAAUGGGCGCAAGCCUGAUGCAGCGACGCCGCGUGGGGGAUGACGGCCUUCGGGUUGUAAACUCCUUUCGCUAGGGACGAAGCGCUUUGUGACGGUACCUGGAGAAGAAGCACCGGCUAACUACGUG